AAAAGGAGAAGAAACACGGCUGCAGUAUUAAAACAGGGAGACAGAACGUGGCAGACAACAGAGGGCCGACUGAAUGAAAUAAACACAGAAAACACACAACCGGAAGUAAACACAGAGCCGGAAGUGAGCGCAGAGCUCAGAGGAACAGGAGCUCCGCAGCUUCUCAGAGAACCAGGUCACAGCUCGGAGGUUACAUUAGCUGUUAGCUAGCAGCCGCCGGUACCGUGAGUCCGGUGUACCCGGAGUCCCGUCAGCCCGCUGCUGUGACCUCAGCCUGUCCGACUUCAGGUGAGCUACACCUGAGACCAGCUAACAGCUAGCUGCUAACUGUUAGCCUGCCGGAGCCCCGCGGGGUCUCCCCGGUACCUGCCGGCUGGACCCCGGCUCACGCGGGCUUUACCUGGACACACAGCGGAGGGUAACAGCCCGCAGACGGUCGCUCGGUCCGGGUCCCGGUCAGGUUCUUCAGCCGCUGCCCUCCCGACGAGACUCCAUGAUCUGAAUGGCGCAGGCAUACAGGGAGCCCGGCUGUUAUCGCGAGAGCGAACUGCCGCGAGAUCAUAACACAGUAGUGAUACUGUUGAUAAGAAUGCAAAUACACACUUUACAUACAAGAACUGCUGUUCAGUGUUUUACAAAUAUAACUAACAUACGGAAUAUAUAUAAUAUACAUCAGAAAAAUAAGAAAACUUUAUCGAUCUCUCUGUUGGACAUUUAGUUUCUGGAGGGAAGGUGUUCGUCCCAGACACGUGCAGCCCCGGAGAGGUUCUGCAGACUCGUGGUGUUCUGAUCCAGACCCUUCUUGCUGCUCUGUCCUGUAACCAUCUGCAGAGACGCGUCUGGAUCGCAGCGGUUUAAAACUACAGGAAGUCAGCUACUGCAGUUCUGCUCGGUCAGGUUGGACCCAGACCUGCUUCUUGAUCCGUCCUCUUCCAGAAGAAGUCCAGACACCAGAGAGAGACGCUGCAGAACCUCCUGAGAACCUUCAUGUUUUUCCUUCGUUUACAUCAGAGAAUGCUGAAUGUAACGUGUCUGUAUGAUGUUUGAUGCAGAGGAUCAAUAAAGUUUUCUUAAUUCAAAUAGUUA